GAUGAACGCUGGCGGCGUGCCUAAUACAUGCAAGUCGAGCGAACGGACGAGAAGCUUGCUUCUCUGAUGUAAGCGGCGGACGGGUGAGUAACACGUGGAUAACCUACCUAUAAGACUGGGAUAACUUCGGGAAACCGGAGCUAAUACCGGAUAAUAUUUUGAACCGCAUGGUUCAAACGUGAAAGACGGUCUUUCUGUCACUUAUAGAUGGAUCCGCGCUGCAUUAGCUAGUUGGUAAGGUAGCGGCUUACCAAGGCAACGAUGCAUAGCCGACCUGAGAGGGUGGUCGGCCACACUGGAACUGAGACACGGUCCAGACUCCUACGGGAGGCAGCAGUAGGGAAUCUUCCGCAAUGGGCGAAAGCCUGACGGAGCAACGCCGCGGGAGUGAUGAAGGUCUUCGGAUCGUAAAACUCUGUUAUUAGGGAAGAACAUAUGUGUAAGUAACUGUGCACAUCUUGACGGUACCUAAUCAGAAAGCCACGGCUAACUACGUG
rnacentral:rRNA from 1 species